rnacentral:lncRNA from 1 species
GUUCUUUUCGGGAGGAUUCCCUCGACCCACGACCCCCGACCCCGGUUCAGGUCCAACCAUUCGGCCUCGUCCGACCCCGGAUCCACGCGACCGACUCCUGCAGGCCAAAACACGCCGACAUUGGACUUCUUUCUAGGCCUCGGCUCUCUCGCUCCGUGAAAUUCUAUGCAUUUCCGUGUUGGCAUUUGUCGCUGGUUCAUUGUGUGAACUCUCGGGGCGAGACAGUGCACAAGUGGACAUGGCACAGUGGUGGAUUAUGAUGAUAGCUAUGGCAUAUCUGGUCCAUAAGUUUAAAUAUUUUAAAAAUAGAAGAAAUUCCAGAAAUUCCAAUUACAUUCAGAACUUCAAAGCUUCACAAAUUUCUGAAUAUAAUUUAUACAUCAAAAGUGAGCUCAGCUCGUCCACUGUUAAUUUUGGUUAACGAAAAGUAUGCGGCCAUCCACUUCCACUCAGCGUCUCUCACACACAUUUCCGGCUUCACUCUGUCUCACUCUUCCUCCCUCUCUCUCUUCGUGUAUCUCUAGUGCAGUGCAGUGGGCCCACGCUAUAUGCAUUAUAAUUUGAGUGGCAUGUUGAGAGUGGCUUUUGUUUUGCUUUUAAUUAGAUUUACAUUGGCCACUUUUCGGUUGCGGAUCCAGUUUGGCCUAGGCGCUACUCGUCCUCGUUCACGGCCUCAUCCCGCCGCUCUACGGGUCGGGUCUUUCAUCAACUCUGGUGACUGGCAAUGCGCUUUGUUUAUUUUGGCGCCUUCUGCAGUGGGCCCAAACCAUUUUAAUUUGCCUUUCACUGUCGUCCGCUGUCCGCUGUCCAUAGGCCACAGUCCGCUGUAUCCCUGUCUCAUUCUCUAAGUUCCACUCAGUGUUUUGUUGUCUUUUCAAUACCCUGCAGUUGAGGGCUAACAAUGGUAGAUUAUAUUUGUGUGGAUUAAUAGAAUAGACAGAGGGCAAAGUUUUCUUGGGAAAAUUAGCUAAAUUUGCGAUAACUGUAUAUAUAACUGUAAUUCAGCUAGAUCGGGAAUUGAUGCGUAAUUAAUAUCAGCCGCCUCUUGCUCACAAGCUGAAGCCGCGCGAGAGCCAUGCGGAUCGGGAGAGCGCUAACAGUGAGCUGCAGACGGAGCACGUUUACAGGCUGUUAGCGGAUCACAGUAACAGUAUGUUACGUUGGAUGGCUAACAGCGCUGUUGCUGACCUGUACAGCAGACAAGCAAUUACUUACUCACGAAUAUUGUAUAUUAUUAUUUCCACUAAAGACUUUUAAGGAUAUCCCAUAGUCGCAUUAUCGACU